GAUGAACGCUGGCGGCGUGCCUAAUACAUGCAAGUCGAGCGAACGGACGAGAAGCUUGCUUUUCUGAUGUUAGCGGCGGACGGGUGAGUAACACGUGGAUAACCUACCUAUAAGACUGGGAUAACUUCGGGAAACCGGAGCCAAUACCGGAUAAUAUUUUGAACCGCAUGGUUCAAAAGUGAAAGACGGUCUUGCUGUCUCUUAUAGAUGGAUCCGCGCUGCAUUAGCUAGUUGGUAAGGUAACGGCUUACCAAGGCAACGAUGCAUAGCCGACCUGAGAGGGUGAUCGGCCACACUGGAACUGAGACACGGUCCAGACUCCUACGGGAGGCAGCAGUAGGGAAUCUUCCGCAAUGGGCGAAAGCCUGACGGAGCAACGCCGCGUGAGUGAUGAAGGUCUUCGGAUCGUAAAACUCUGUUAUUAGGGAAGAACAUAUGUGUAAGUAACUGUGCACAUCUUGACGGUACCUAAUCAGAAAGCCACGGCUAACUACGUG
rnacentral:rRNA from 1 species